GCCUCUAUAGCUCAGUGGUAGAGCACUGGUCUCGUAAACCAGGGGUCGUGAGUUUAAUCCUCACCGGAGGCA
rnacentral:tRNA from 1 species